rnacentral:rRNA from 1 species
GACGAACGCUGGCGGCGUGCCUAACACAUGCAAGUCGAACGGGACUUAAGGGGCUUGCUCCUUAAGUUUAGUGGCGAACGGGUGAGUAACGCGUGAGAAACCUGCCUUCCAGUGGGGGACAACAGUUGGAAACGACUGCUAAUACCGCAUAACACUUUAGUACCGCAUGGUACAGAAGUCAAAGCUUUAUGUGCUGGAAGAUGGUCUCGCGUCUGAUUAGCUAGAUGGCGGGGUAACGGCCCACCAUGGCGACGAUCAGUAGCCGGUCUGAGAGGAUGAACGGCCACAUUGGGACUGAGAUACGGCCCAGACUCCUACGGGAGGCAGCAGUGGGGAAUAUUGGGCAAUGGGGGAAACCCUGACCCAGCAACGCCGCGUGAAGGAAGAAGGCCUGGUGUAA